UUCUUUUGCAAAAUUUGUGAUUGGUCCUGGCAACAACUGUUACUUUUUGGCUAUACAUGAUUGGUUGCUAAGGCCAUCUGUAAGGCAAAAAGUUCUGGUCUAUGGGAGUAAGCAUAUUUCUUGAAAGAAGGCCAAGAUGAGAACAGUGAGGCACAGUUCAAAAGUUACAUUCAAUCUGGGUAGAGCCAUGGUGUGCCUGUGUAAGCUUCAUUUCCUUAGUGGCCUCCCAGCUCCAUUUUAGAAGCCUUGACAUACGUUACUCCAUUUUGUUAUCACUGUCCAUGUGCCCAAACAGAAAUUUAUACUUUGUUUCUCUUUGCUGGCAUUGUUUUAUCUAGUCUAAUCUCUCACAGAAGCUAUUGUCAUUCAAGGGUUAUUUCUUCUUGUGGGAAUCUUCCCACUUUGCACUGCCCAAAGCUUUGUCUCUUGAAUUUGAAGCAACUGCCACCAUCAAGAUUCUAAGUCUCUUAAGUGGUACAUGGCCUCAGAGCAGCUGAGGUUUCAAUGCUCACAUAAAUCCAAUAGGGAGACAGACAUGACUACUUUGAAAGGAGGAGCAGAUCUGCACCAUAUCCAAAGCCUGUGAGUUUUUUGAAAUCCGCUAGUCGACUUUCCAUCUUAAACACUGUAUGCAAAUAAGGAUAAAGACAGCGACACUUCCCAAGAGAGGUCAGAAGUCAAGAGGAGAGAGAGAAAAAGGUAUCUAAAGAUAGAGAUCUAGGAGCUAGCAAGUCGGAAUUUGGUUGCGUUCUGAAUCUACUCCUAACUUGCUCUGUGAUCCAAGUUAAUUACUGUGAUUCCUCCCAGGCAAAAGAGAAUAUAAAGAGAGAGAAAAGAGAAAAAGAGAGAGAAAUCACAAAGAUUUUGAUGAGUCUUCAUCACGUCCAUGUGUGUAGAGACAAAGGCCAAUCCUCAGAACCACGGGAGGAGCAAGCAGGUCAGACACAAGCCCAGACUUCCCGCGAACACUGAAGAAGUCAACAACCAGCAACUGUGUCCGAGGUGACCUCCUUCAAGACUCCAGAGAGCUGGUUUCCCUGGCAGGCCCAGGCAGGUGCCCAGGAUGUCACCUUCCUCAGGCUUCCUGUGCCACUGCCCUCCAAGAGAAAAAAAAUCCUUUCAAAGAAAAAUUUCAGUCCAUAUAAAUAAAACAUACCAUGCUGGCA
rnacentral:lncRNA from 1 species